AUUGCUUGCGGGCCUCCAACCCAAUGUGAACGUUACCAAACUGUUGCCUCGGCGGGAUCUCUGCCCCGGGUGCGUCGCAGCCCCGGACCAAGGCGCCCGCCGGAGGACCAACCAAAACUCUUAUUGUAUACCCCCUCGCGGGUUUUUUUUUAUAAUCUGAGCCUUCUCGGCGCCUCUCGUAGGCGUUUCGAAAAUGAAUCAAAACUUUCAACAACGGAUCUCUUGGUUCUGGCAUCGAUGAAGAACGCAGCGAAAUGCGAUAAGUAAUGUGAAUUGCAGAAUUCAGUGAAUCAUCGAAUCUUUGAACGCACAUUGCGCCCGCCAGUAUUCUGGCGGGCAUGCCUGUCCGAGCGUCAUUUCAACCCUCGAACCCCUCCGGGGGGUCGGCGUUGGGGAUCGGCCCUGCCUUGGCGGUGGCCGUCUCCGAAAUACAGUGGCGGUCUCGCCGCAGCCUCUCCUGCGCAGUAGUUUGCACACUCGCAUCGGGAGCGCGGCGCGUCCACAGCCGUUAAACACCCAACUUCUGAAAUGUUGACCUCGGAUCAGGUAGGAAUACCCGCUGAACUUAAGCAUAUCAAUAAGCGGAGGAA
rnacentral:rRNA from 1 species